UGGGGAAUUUUGGACAAUGGGCGAAAGCCUGAUCCAGCAAUGCCGCGUGUGUGAAGAAGGCCUUCGGGUUGUAAAGCACUUUUGUCCGGAAAGAAAUCCUUGGCUCUAAUGCAGUCGGGGGAUGACGGUACCGGAAGAAUAAGCACCGGCUAACUACGUGCCAGCAGCCGCGGUAAUACGUAGGGUGCAAGCGUUAAUCGGAAUUACUGGGCGUAAAGCGUGCGCAGGCGGUUUGCUAAGACCGAUGUGAAAUCCCCGGGCUCAACCUGGGAACUGCAUUGGUGACUGGCAGGCUAGAGUAUGGCAGAGGGGGGUAGAAUUCCACGUGUAGCAGUGAAAUGCGUAGAGAUGUGGAGGAAUACCGAUGGCGAAGGCAGCCCCCUGGGCCAAUACUGACGCUCAUGCACGAAAGCGUGGGGAGCAAACAGGAUUAGAUACCCUGGUAGUCCACGCCCUAAACGAUGUCAACUAGUUGUUGGGGAUUCAUUUCCUUAGUAACGUAGCUAACGCGUGAAGUUGACCGCCUGGGGAGUACGGUCGCAAGAUU
rnacentral:rRNA from 1 species